UACGGAGGAUCCAAGCGUUAUCCGGAAUCACUGGGUUUAAAGGGUCCGUAGGCGGGUUAAUAAGUCAGUGGUGAAAGUCUGCAGCUCAACUGUAGAAUUGCCAUUGAUACUGUAGACCGUGAAUUAUUAUGAAGUGGUUAGAAUAUGUAGUGUAGCGGUGAAAUGCAUAGAUAUUACAUAGAACACCGAUUGCGAAGGCAGAUCACUAACAAUAUACUGACGCUGAUGGACGAAAGCGUAGGUAGCGAACAGG
rnacentral:misc_RNA from 1 species